rnacentral:rRNA from 1 species
AUACGUAGGGUGCAAGCGUUAAUCGGAAUUACUGGGCGUAAAGCGUGCGCAGGCGGUUUUGUAAGACAGAGGUGAAAUCCCCGGGCUCAACCUGGGAACUGCCUUUUUGACUGCAAGGCUAGAGUACGGCAGAGGGGGAUGGAAUUCCGCGUGUAGCAGUGAAAUGCGUAGAUAUGCGGAGGAACACCGAUGGCGAAGGCAAUCCCCUGGGCCUGUACUGACGCUCAUGCACGAAAGCGUGGGGAGCAAACAGGAUUAGAUACCCUGGUAGUCCACGCCCUAAACGAUGUCAACUGGUUGUUGGGUCUUCAUUGACGCAGUAACGAAGCUAACGCGUGAAGUUGACCGCCCGGGGAGU